rnacentral:ncRNA from 2 species
ACGGACGAUAGAGGUGCGAUAUUUAAGAGUAUCUGUGUGGAUAUAAGCAAUGGGAAACAUAGUGAAAGGAAAUAUUGCCGAAGCGUAUAGCUAAAGCUUUAAGGCUAUAUAGCUGGUUUUAUUCAUAAUAUGAGUAAAACUGUCACAAAGUAAUUUGUGGAGAGCUAUCAUUCAA